UUCAAUUGUUACCAAAAGCGUACGUUAUAUUAAAUCCCUUCUUUCAUCGUCAAUUUGAUAUUUAAAAUGUGUAUGCCGGUUAUUCAAAGAUACAUUAGCUACUUUUAACUUUUUACAGGACACAGUUUAGCUCAAUUGCCACAUUUUUUUUUGAAAAGGAAAUCAGUUCAUGGAUUUCCUACAAGUAAUAAGUGAUAGAAAGUUUCUUUCCUGGAUAAAAGAGGACCAUUCGAAUACAAUCUUGUAAAAAUCAUCCACUGGAGGAACAUAAACCAUCAUCAUAAGUUCAUCAUCAACCCUUGGACCCCACUACAAGGACAUCAGGACGCGUUUCAAUCGAGGGACAUCUCUCAUCGUGGGAGAUCAUCGUCGCGGACAACGGGGGACCAUUUCUAACGGGUGCGAAUAGCUCCCAACGGUGAGGGUCAUCUUCCGAUGGCUGGAACCGUCUUUCAAUGGUAAGAAGUCCCUUUCAACAGCCAAGAUCGUCCCUCGCAGGUAAGACUUGUCCCUUUGCGGACAGGAACACCUUCAAGUGGUUUGAGGGUGAUCCCGUCUGCGGGAGGGUGGUACUUGUACCACAUCUUCCGCAGAUGUGAUCAUUUUUAAACAACUUGAAGGUGAUUUCUGUUAGCAAAGGUAUAAGUCAACCCUCCGAAGGGGGAUCGCAGUUGUUGUAAGGUACUUCUAACCACUUGGAAGAUAGUUCCUGGUCAUUGAAAGGUGGCACUUACCACUUGGGGGCUAUACAAUCCCGCUAAAAAUGGUCCCGCGCGCGGACAGGGGACCCGCGUCCCCCACCGGCGUUGAAUUACAAAAACCUUCGAUGUAGGGAUGCACCAUUCGAAAAAUAAAAAAAUUGUCUUUUUUUA